rnacentral:misc_RNA from 1 species
GAUGAAGAACGUAGCGAAAUGCGAAAAGUAAUGCGAAUUGCAGAAUUCAGCGAGUCAUCGAGUCUUUGAACGCACAUUGCGCCCCCUGGUAUUCCGGGGGGCAUGCCUGUCCGAGCGUCAUUGCUGCCCUCAAGCACGGCUUGUGUGUUGGGCCUCCGUCCUCCUCCCGGGGGACGGGCCCGAAAGGCAGCGGCGGCACCGCGUCCGGUCCUCGAGCGUAUGGGGCUUCGUCACCCGCUCUUGUAGGCCCGGCCGGCGCUUGCCGACACAUCAAUCUUUUUUCCAGGUUGACCUCGGAUCAGGUAGGGAUACCCGCUGAACUUAAGCAUAUCAAUAAGCGGAGGA